rnacentral:rRNA from 1 species
CCUACGGGAGGCAGCAGUGGGGAAUAUUGGACAAUGGGCGAAAGCCUGAUCCAGCAAUGCCGCGUGAGUGAUGAAGGCCUUCGGGUCGUAAAGCUCUUUUACCAGGGAUGAUAAUGACAGUACCUGGAGAAUAAGCUCCGGCUAACUCCGUGCCAGCAGCCGCGGUAAUACGGAGGGAGCUAGCGUUGUUCGGAAUUACUGGGCGUAAAGAGUACGUAGGCGGUUAUUCAAGUCAGAGGUGAAAGCCCGGGGCUCAACCCCGGAACUGCCUUUGAAACUAGAUAACUAGAGUCUUGGAGAGGUUAGUGGAAUUCCGAGUGUAGAGGUGAAAUUCGUAGAUAUUCGGAAGAACACCAGUGGCGAAGGCGACUAGCUGGACAAGUACUGACGCUGAGGUACGAAAGCGUGGGGAGCAAACAGGAUUAGAUACCCUGGUAGUCCACGCCGUAAACGAGGAUAACUAGUUGUUCGGUCACUUGGUGACUGAGUGACGCAGCUAACGCAUUAAGUUAUCCGCCUGGGGAGUACGGUCGCAAGAUUAAAACUUAAAUGAAUUGACGG